UUUAUAUUGAAUUAUCCAAACACUUGGGAUUUAAACUAGUUGCAUAAUGGACAUUGGUAGUAUUGUACCCAAGACAACAAAACUCCAAAUUCAGAUUGCUUGGGAUCAGGGAAAUCAAAUGGAAGUGGAUUAGAGGCGUUUUGCUAUUUGUGGUAAUAUUUUUAAACCAAGCUUGGAAAGUUUGAAGUAUGUUCUGUGCAGUCAAGAAAGUGGAGUGAGAAGGGGGUGUUAAUGUCUCAAGAAUGAAAGCAAAACAGUGAAAGACUUCAGUGCCUUUAGAGACAGGCAGAAGCAUGGAGAAGUGCAGCGCAGGGUGUGGUACUAACGCCGGUGAAAGGAAGCAGCUGGUGGAGAAUAAUGUAAGAAUCCAGCCUAUCAGGGUUCAGAAAUGUUAAGGGAAGCAGAUUUGACCUAAAUCAAAGGACUGACUGCAGAAGAUCUUUAAGAAAGAACCUUUCACAAGUAGAAGAAAGGCUGAGCUGGGAAUUGAAACUGGAGAUGAUUUCUCUGUACGCAUGUAGUUAUACAUACCCCCCUGGCCUUUCACACCAGCCGAAACUGGCUUUUCACUUUCGCCAGCUGCCUCUACUGUGCAGCCCAGGACAGCGCUGGGAAGGGGAAGGCGGAAGGUAGGCCACAGGGACCCUGUGCUUCGAAACGAAACCUUGGUUCUUGGAUGGUAGAAGAACAUAAUCAAGCAGCUCUAAAGUGAUUGAGGACAUUCUGUCCUAGUGCUUCUCAAUGGGUGUUUUAUCAGCUCGCGUAAUCAGGUUAAAAUGCUAUCAGUUCUGUAUCUUGAGCUAGCUAAAGCUGGAUGUGAAAACCAUCAAUCUUAAAAAUUUCUCAUGGAUUAAAUUUUCUCUUGGACACCAAGAGAACAUUUUUACCUCUGCGCGUUUCUGCAUUGUGAGAGACGCCAUAUUUCUCAUUUAAAUGUACGCAGUGACACACAACAUCUUUAUUUGCCUUGAAACUCCUCCACUCCUUGACUUUUAUUUGACCUUACAUUUAUCUGACCUUCACUUUUACAAUAUAAGCUUUUAUAAUCUGCCGUGUAAGCUUCUUUAAAACAUGCCAAGGUAGAGAUUUAGUUACACUCUGUUUGUCUUUUUAAAAAUAAAUAGCCAUAUAUUUUUAAUUUCAGGGCGUUUGAUGUAGAACUGCUUUACAUUGCACAGUUCUUUAAAAUCCCAAUAGCAGAAAUUGCUGUCAACUGGACUGAAAUUGAAGGUUCUAAAUUAGUUCCCUUUUGGAGCUGGCUACAGAUGGGAAAGGAUCUACUUUUUAUACGACUUCGGUAUUUGACUGGUGCCUGGAGGCUUGAA